GAGUUAAUUUUACUUAGUUUUGAUGUAAAAGUUUGACUGCCUAUUGUAGAUUCUUACUGAAAAUUUUCUCCCAUUAUUGGUUAGCUGCUGUUGUUGUAUUGGUUAGCUAGGAUCCAUAUAGUUGACCUAAACUAGUUUGGGAUUAAAGCUUAGAUUUUGUUGUUGUUGUAUUGAUUAGCUGCCCAUACUUUUUGUGGGUUGAGUCUAUAUUAUGCAUAUAUAUUUUGAUAAGCAAGUCAAUAGUCUCAUUAUGGUACUGCAGGAUUCGUGAAAUUUUUUUUUACAAUGA
rnacentral:misc_RNA from 1 species